GAUGAACGCUGGCGGCGUGCCUAAUACAUGCCAGUCGAGCGAACAGACGAGGAGCUUGCUCCUCUGACGUUAGCGGCGGACGGGUGAGUAACACGUGGAUAACCUACCUAUAAGACUGGGAUAACUUCGGGAAACCGGAGCUAAUACCGGAUAAUAUAUUGAACCGCAUGGUUCAAUAGUGAAAGACGGUUUUGCUGUCACUUAUAGAUGGAUCCGCGCCGCAUUAGCUAGUUGGUAAGGUAACGGCUUACCAAGGCGACGAUGCGUAGCCGACCUGAGAGGGUGAUCGCCCACACUGGAACUGAGACACGGUCCAGACUCCUACGGGAGGCAGCAGUAGGGAAUCUUCCGCAAUGGGCGAAAGCCUGACGGAGCAACGCCGCGUGAGUGAUGAAGGUCUUCGGAUCGUAAAACUCUGUUAUUAGGGAAGAACAAAUGUGUAAGUAACUAUGCACGUCUUGACGGUACCUAAUCAGAAAGCCACGGCUAACUACGUG
rnacentral:rRNA from 1 species